rnacentral:rRNA from 1 species
GACGAACGCUGGCGGCGUGGAUUAGGCAUGCAAGUCGAACGGUAUCAUCCUUUCGGGGGUGAGAGAGUGGCGAACUGGUGAGUAACACGUAGGUUAUCUACCCUCAAGACGGGGACAACCCAGGGAAACUUGGGCUAAUACCGGAUGUGAGCAACUUUUAGUUGUUUGAAAGGUGGCGUAAGCUGUCGCUUGGGGAUGAGCCUGCGUCCUAUUAGUUAGUUGGUGAGGUAACGGCUCACCUAGGCAAUGAUAGGUAGGCGGCCUUAACGGGUGGUCGCCCACACUGGGAUUGAGAUACGGCCCAGACUCCUACGGGAGGCAGCAGUCGAGAAUAGUCUACAAUGGUCGGAAGACUGAUAGUGCGACGCCGCGUGAACGAUGAAUCCCUUCGGGUGUAAAGUUCUUUUAUAUGUGAGCAGUGCUUCUUAUAUUAACAGUAUGGGGAGAGAGAUAUUAGCAUAUGAAUAAGCAACGGCUAACUCCGUGCCAGCAGCCGCGGU